CCCUUAGAUGUUCUGGGCCGCACGCGCGCUACACUGAUGCAUUCAACGAGUCCAACCUUGACCGAGAGGUCCGGGUAAUCUUUGAAACUGCAUCGUGAUGGGGCUAGAUUAUUGCAAUUAUUAAUCUUCAACGAGGAAUGCCUAGUAAGCGUGAUUCAUCAAAUCGCGUUGAUUACGCCCCUGCCCUUUGUACACACCGCCCGUCGCUCCUACCGAUUGAGUGUGUUGGUGAGGAGUUUGGAUUGGCCUCGGAAGGUGGUUCGCCACCGUCCGUAGCUGAGAAGUUCUCCAAACCGCCCCACUUAGAGGAAGGAGAAGUCGUAACA
rnacentral:rRNA from 1 species